ACUGACAGCCAUGGUUACCGCGGCUGCUGGCACGGAGUUAGCCGGUGCUUCUUCUGUGAGUGAUGUCCUUCCUGCCGGCUAUUAACCCGCAGGCCUUCUUCCUCACUGAAAGUGCUUUACAACCCGAAGGCCUUCUUCACACACGCGGCAUGGCUGGAUCAGGGUUGCCCCCAUUGUCCAAUAUUCCCCACUGCUGCCUCCCGUAGGAGUCUGGGCCGUGUCUCAGUCCCAGUGUGGCUGAUCAUCCUCUCAGACCAGCUACGGAUCGUCGCCUUGGUGAGCCGUUACCUCACCAACCAGCUAAUCCGACAUAGGCUCAUCCGAUAGCGCGAGGCCCGGAAGGUCCCCCGGNUUUCCCCCCGGUAGGGCGUAUGCGGUAUUAGCCUGGGUUUCCCCCAGGUUAUCCCCCACUACCGGGCAGAUUCCUAUGCAUUACUCACCCGUCCGCCGCUCGCCACCAGGGAGCAAGCUCCCCGUGCUGCCGCUCGACUUGCAUGUGUUAGGCCUGCCGCCAGCGUUCAAU
rnacentral:rRNA from 1 species